CGCGUCACCUGAUCCCCUGGCAGAAAGAAAAAAAAAACCGUCCUCGAUCCCCCUCGCGCUAUCUCGUCUCGCACCCGACUCGCUCCCGCACAGGCUAGGGUUCCCGUUGCAGCCGCCGCCGCCGCCACCAGUCCCCUACUCGUCUGCUCCGCGCCGCGGCUAGCUCCGGCGACAUGGCCGGAGGGUAGGAGCCCAUCUUCCGUCGCUUCUCCAACCUCGGGCACGACCCCUACCUUCCCUGGCGGCCAGGAGCAGCUCGUGUCGGUCCCGUCGGCGCCCUACUCCGGCGGUCGGUGCCCCACUCCGGCCGCGACCCAGUCCGUCGAGAAGGAACCCCGUUCGUUCCCCCUUCCCUCCUCAGUCCGUGGCCAUGAGCUCGGCCGGCAAGGAGCUUAUUCUCACAGCAUAGCUCAAAAGAACUGGCCCUGAAGCGGACUCGCGCGGAGGAGCUCCGCCUCUGGGCCAGGUGCGUAGCUGGCGUCCAUCUCGGCGCCGGGGAGGGAGGAACAACGGCGCGGCUGAGUCCGCUGCCUUCGUCACUCGCCGCUGUCCGCCGAUGUGGUUGCCUGCAUCUUCAUGAGCCACGGCCGGCCACCCUGUCGUCGCUAGUCAUUGUCGCGCCAGAGAUAUCCUUCGACCGUUGCUGUGUCCCGCCGGCACCUAGGCGCCCUUGUCCGGACAAGUUCCACUGUUCCCCUCCAGGCCCUCCUCAACACCCAACCGCAGCCAGCAACCAAGUUUAUAUAUCGUGCAUCAAAGGGUAUCACCAGUCGGAAGAUUCCAGCUUAGUGCCGUCAACGUACUGACUGCUUCCCCUCUGAAUGCAUGUUUGCUCAUGCCUAAACAUGAUAUGAGUAGGAGUAAAAAACUUGUAUGUGGUAUAUUCAGUUGAUUAAUCUGGAUGGGCUGUAAGGUAGCCAUUUAUGUUUAGAGUACUUUCUCGGGUUCACGCCAAAGGGAGAUAAUGGUCUUACAUGUUGGCCUGUAUUUUGAUUUCCUGUAGUCUAAGAGGAGAGCUGAUUGUGCUCACGUAUUGUGUUUUUUUGCUGAGUUGUAUGUGCAAGUUAGGCUUUCAUCC